rnacentral:rRNA from 1 species
UACGAAGGGGGCUAGCGUUGCUCGGAAUCACUGGGCGUAAAGGGUGCGUAGGCGGGUUUUUAAGUCAGAGGUGAAAUCCUGGAGCUCAACUCCAGAACUGCCUUUGAUACUGGGAAUCUUGAGUAUGGAAGAGGUGAGUGGAACUGCGAGUGUAGAGGUGAAAUUCGUAGAUAUUCGCAAGAACACCAGUGGCGAAGGCGGCUCACUGGCCCGAUACUGACGCUGAUGCACGAAAGCGUGGGGAGCAAACAGG